rnacentral:rRNA from 1 species
UUCCCCCUACGGGACGCAGCAGUGGGGAAUAUUGGGCAAUGGGCGCAAGCCUGACCCAGCAACGCCGCGUGAAGGAAGAAGGCUUUCGGGUUGUAAACUUCUUUUAUGAGGGACGAAAGAAAUGACGGUACCUCAUGAAUAAGCCACGGCUAACUACGUGCCAGCAGCCGCGGUAAUACGUAGGUGGCAAGCGUUAUCCGGAUUUACUGGGUGUAAAGGGCGGGUAGGCGGGACCGCAAGUCCGAU